CUGCUGCACAUCACAGGUCCUUCCUUCCAUCCCUUACAAUCUCAAUUUAAAUCCUCGGGACAAGAAGUCGUCCCUGUGGAAGAAAAAAAAAUGAAUCUCAUCAAAGCAAGUUCAACAAUAUCACAAAAUAAUAGUUGAUAAAAAACCAUGCUUUUUAAAAGGAACUAAGCAUAAGCUUAGAGUAAUAAUUUCAUGGUAGGCCAAUUUCUCAACAAACUUUCUUCUCUUAAAAUACCGCAGCAGGGUGGAAUAGUCCCAACAUUUAGAAAUAAGUUGGUAAAAAAAAUAAUUUAGAAGUGAAAAUCUCAAACAAUGAAUAAAAAAGAAAAAAACUAAAUCACACCAAAAUUCUUUCUUUCAGCAAAUUCUUUAGCUAAUUCUUUCAGCAAAAUCUUUAGCUAAGUUUGUUUAGAGAUUCAUACCAAAAUAUAGACCAAAUUCUUCUCUUAGCUACUUACUCUAAAUAUUCCACACGCACCCUUGCACUCUAGUAUACUAGUUUAGCCUCUAUUUACUAUUUAUUUCUAAAUAGUAUCUACAACACUUAGGUACAUAUUCAUUCACUGAAGCCCUCAUUCCUUGUUUCCAAAUCACUUAACAUUCAUUUACAUAAUUAGAUUACAAAGAAACGUCGGCUUCCAAACAGAAUUGCAUUGGAAUAUCAUUAAAAUUUCAAGAAAACAUUACUCAUUUCAAGCUUCGGGUGCAACCACUUAGUGCGCCAAACGAUAAUUAAAUCCUCCAAACUUAGGUAUUUUAACAAUCAUUUGGAGUAAACUUCCUAACCAAAGCCAUGAACAAUUAUGCGCACAAUAGCAAACACCAUUACAUUAAUUUGUGUAAACUAUCGUAGAUUAGUUUACUUGUUUUGUGCUCCUAAGUUGUGAUGGAUGUAGGUUAGCUUGUACAGAUCAUUCUAAGACUUUUAUUACCUCUCUUCAACCUUCCCUCAGAGGAAAGCUUAAAAAAAGUAUACAUCAUGCUGAUUCAAAAAAUUCUGCACCCUUAAAACACACAAAAUAAGUAUAUUUUUUAUUGACAAAACUACACAAUUAGUCCCUUAACUUUAUUUUAGGUAACACUUUCGUCCUUUAUCUUUUUUUUGUCACGAUUUAGUCCUUUAUGUUAUAAAAUAACAACAUAGUUAUCCUUUUUUAUGAAAAAAAUAAUCAAAAACUCCAAAAAAAAAAUCAUCAAACGCAUAGGCAAACGUAAAUCUUCAUCAUACAAGUCUAGAAAAUCAAAUUUCUUUGAAAAAAAUCUCAUAAAAAAUGAUAAGAUAUUGUCAUUUUAUAACAUAAAGGACUAAAUCGUGACAAAAAAAAGAUAAAGGACGAAAGUGUUACCUAAAAUAAAGUUAAGGGACUAAUUGUGUAAUUUUGCCUUUUUUAUUUUGCUUCAUUGUUGUACUUUGCCAUUUACCAAAAUUAAGUUCGACUUUCAUUACUCAAUUCACUCCAUUUGAACAAGCAUGCAAACAUAUUUUCUGCAGAAUCCAACAGCAAUAAUGUAGAACUAGUAGCCAAACACAAAAACAAGGUUCAGUUUCACUUGACUGGACAUAAACAAGCUGCAAAAUGCUGGCUAUCAAAUUGUUUGUCAAGGCAAAAGAAAGAACAAUAAUGAAAGUCAUUUUUCCAUUAGGGUGAGGCAAGUACAUAAAAUGACAUGAUGCAAAGAGAAGAAUUUGCUAUCACAUAGCAUACAUUGCUGUCAAUUCAUACCAAAUUUCACACUUAGCAAAUUCUUUCUUUCAUGCAUAGCAUACAUUGCUGUCCAUUUUUUGUUUCUUUUGAAAUCCAGCAUACACACAUUGUCACAUAUACGUAAACAAAGGUAGAGACUUCAAAGUAAUUAGAGUAUCCUUGUCCGAUAAUAAAAAUUCAAUUUGACCUAUAGCAUAGAGUUUAACUUAAUAUAUCAUAUGAUGGGUCCAUUGAAUUGACAUCAACUAAUACAUAGCAAAAACUCAAAAAACUAGUAUAAUCAAAACAAGUACCUUCUCAUGCUCUUGCUUGUACGAUUCUCCUUCUUCUUAGAAUUAUCAACAGGGAAGGAAGGUGGGACAAGACUUCCAACACAAAACAUAACUCCAUGGAAAUCAGGAAUUCCUUCAACAUAACUAACUUGUGCACUCUUCAAAUCAUACCAAAACAGCUUCUCAGCAUCUACCCUCAACAAAACCUUUUUUCCAUCACUCGAAUAACCUAAAGGCCUCAAAGAUUUCAAAGGUAAAUCGUAACACGAUUUAACCAUAGUAAAAAGUUUACACCAACUAUCUCUAGAACCAUAUUCUUUCAUCACCCAAACAUCAACUUUUGUAGUUUCGUAAUAAGUCAUGCAAAGACACCCUCCCAAAACAUCAACAUCAAUUUCAAAACUCUCAUUACUAUUAUGAACAUCAGGAAGAGGAACCACAUUGAAAAUUUCAAGUGUUAGGUUAAAUGCAACAAUUAAAGAAGGAUGUAAUCCACCAAGUUUCUUUGUCAUUAUCCAGUGAAGAGAAUUCUCAACAAAAACCCCCAUGAAUUGAGCAUAGAUAAGAGAGUACGGCAUACUGGGAAUUAUUUUCCACGAGUUUGUUAUAGAGCUGAAGAGUCUGACAUGUGAAUCAUAAAAAGAGUUGUGUGGAGAGGCUAACCAAGAGAUUCUGAGGAGUUUGUAAUCGCCGGUUAAAGGAUCAAAACCGAAACCAUGAACGCAUAAGCAGCAGCGAUUGAUGUUGUCGGAUUCCAUAAUGUCAGGGAUAGGAAGAGGUAGGAAAGGGAUCAUACGAUGCUUACGAGUGCUAGGGUUCCAGAUUGUGAUUUCGUUGGGGUUGUUAGGAUGAUUGAAAGCCAGUUGGCCGUGGGAGAUGGCGAGGAGGCCGUUACAGGAACCGAUAAGAGCCAUGGUUCUGGUUCUAUUACGUGUGACAGGAGUGAUUUUGGUGGUGAAAGGAUGGUUGAGUGGAAUCAUCAUGGAUUUAGAGAAAUCAUCAUGAUCAUCGAUUUGGAGUUGGUAGAGAUCGAAUUUGUGUUGAAUGAUUAAGGAUCGACUGAGGGAAUUUUUGAGAUGAAGGUUGAUGAAGUGGUGAGAAUCGAUUAUGGAUUUAAGUGAUUUAGAAGUUGAUCGGAAUUGGAGAAGUGAUUUUACCGGUAAGCGGGAGAGGAUUUCCUCCAACAAUUCCGGCGGAGGAACAUCACUCGCCAUUGGAAGGAAGGUUCGUUCUAGGGUUGUGUGGUUCUUCUGCGUUUAGGUUUUAGUAUUUGUUGAUUGAUUGUCACCAUCCACUAAUCAUUCUGCUACUGCUACCAAGAAAUAGAGUGAGCGUUGUUUCCUUCAUCAAAUGUGUAAGUUGUGUGUGUUAAACAUCAUGCUUAAGGAAGUUGAUGUCAAGUCUUUACUAUUAUGCGUUGGUUAUUUUUAUUUUAGUAACUGCUCUUCACUUUUUAUUACUCCAUUACUUAUGGUAGUUAUUGGAAUUAUUUUUUCUUUUAUUGAAAAUUCUAGCUGUAAUUAUUGGUAGCACACAACUUCAUAAAAAAUCACAUGAAUUUUGUCACGAAUAAGUUUAAAUGUAUAUUCACGAAUUAAGUUUAAAUGUAUAUUUAGAAUCAAGAUGAGUUUCACAUAAAUACCAUAAUUUUUUUGAAACUUAAGAUGUAACUUUUGUUAAAAGCACAACGGCAAGGGGUGAUUCUAACAAACUCAUUUGCAAUCCAAACAUGCACUUAAUGUUCUCAUAAUUGCAGCAAACAAUUAUAUAAAAUGAACCAAAAAUAGAACUGCUAAACCAUUCCUCUACCAACUUGUACAAUCUUUCAUCUCUUGUACUUGCAAACAAAUGAUCAUUUCAUGACACAUUAUCAUUUUAAGUCAAAAUUAAAUGGUCAUAUUCAACCAUGUGCUAGCCAUGAAUGUGUUUUACACCAAGAAAAAAAUGGUUAAUACAAACAUGUUAAAAAGCCAUGCUCUAAACAAAUAUGGGAUGGUACCAAUAAGACAUCGAUUCAUAUGACAUGUCAAAGUUCGAAGUAGUUAGCAUGAGCCACCAGGCCUUUAAGAAACCGAUCCAAUACAUCGAAUCACUAUUCCUAAGACCUCAUUCUUUUCCUUCUCUACAACUGGAUUUCCCAUUUCUAACAUCAAAGUUGCAUCGAAACAUUCGGAGCCUCGACCUUCUGCUACUCGCAAUCUAACCAAUCUGUAAGAUAAAACACCUCCCUCCUCGCCAGUUACCACAUCACCAGCACAACUUCUGGUUAAAAGUUUCAAAAGUAUCACGCCAAAACCUUAGACAUCUGACUUGAAGGAAGGCAUUGGCUUCUUUGAAGCAGCUAACUCGUGUGCGCAAUAACCUAAGACACCAUAAGAGAAAAUCUAUUCAAUAGUAGUACCAGCUUGAGUCAUAAGUCGGUCAAGACAAUAAUCGCAACCAGUGCAUUCAUAUCAGUGGUAUCUAACAACACAUUUGCAGAUUUUAAGGUUUCCAUGAGGAACAGCUCGGUCGAAAUGGAGAUAGUCAGUCCACGUGCUACAUCAACUGCUACUUUGAGCUUGUGUGCCCAUGUCAAUUGUGGACCGUUUCUUCCUGAUCAAUCUGAGAAUUAGAAUUUAACAGCAAGUUCAAACUUCAAAUAUUAACAAUAAUAACAAACAGAUAUAAUGAAUGAGAAGUUCCGAAACAUGUACGCAGCAUAAGCAAAAUUGAUUUGCAUUUCUAUUAUUAUAUGCACAUAAGUGCACUACACACCAGAGACACAAAUACAAUGCACUUUUGCUUGAGAGACAAUCUUUCGAUCAAAAUCUUCUAGAAAUCAUUGUUGUUAAAAUCUCAAUCCUAAUCCUAAAAUCCUAAAAUUUUGCAAUUUGGUUCUGACUUACCAAUCGAAAUCCUGAGUAGAAUCCUAAAGACCUAAACUACGCAAAAUCUUUUAAAAAUCGUUUAUAUUUAAGUGAUAUUGCGAUUUUGCUCUGCCUUAUAAUUGGCGCAUUUGUGAUGUGAUGUUGGCUUGUAACAUCUAUAUUUUGAGUAUUUAUAUUUAAGAUUUGAGACUUUGAGCCGUCUAUGUUUAAGCUUUGUCACUAAUUUGUUUUACGUUUAAGAUUUGAGACUUGGUUGUUUUAUAUUUGCUUUAAAAUUCAAACUUUAAGCAGUUUGUUUAUGCACUUUAUAGUAUAUAUUUAAUACUAUUUGAGAACCUUCGAUUUUGCGAUCUUACUAUCACCUUCUGAUUCUACACAAUCUCAUGAGUAGAAUCCUUUGAUUUUGAUUGCGAUUUUAGGUGUUGUGAUCUUGCUAUCACCUUUCGAUCUGAAGCAAAAUCUCGACAACCUUGCUGGAAACCAAAAAAUAAAUCAAAGAAUCAAUUUGGUCUGACUUACUUUUAACUUCUCUUUAAAAGAAGUUAUGCCAAACAAUAUUUUUAAAAAGAAGCCUUGUCUUUCAUGUAUAAAAAUUCGAUAUAAUGAAAUUUUCAAAAAAAAAAAAUGUUGAGAGGAAUUUUGUAAUAAUCAGAACUUUGAUAAUGUUAUCUAUCUUUUUAUUUAACUCAGAUUCUAUCAUUCUAUCAAAAUAAUAUUUUUAUUUAAGCUAAGAAACAAGAAUUAUUACCAAACAACUCUAGUUUUCUCCACUCUUUCUCUCAACAACAACCAUUAUCCAAAGUUGUCUUGUAAGAGGUACCGUGACUACUUCUUCCCAAAAAUUCGGCUGUUGCCCGUCAUAGCUCCUAAAGUGUCAGUGAUAUUGUAUCAUCAUCAAAAUUUAGCUCUCCAAUCAACCUAUCCGAUGACCUCGUAUCUAGUCUUGUAAGAUACUCAGCAGUCAAUGAAUCACGAGGACCAUGAAAAGUGGUUGUGUUUUGACGGAGAGAAUCCAGCUACAACUGCAGUUUUUUCAUCAUGGCGAAGUAUUUCUCAUGGUGAUCCUUUACGUGAAGCCACGAGAUCCUCAACUAAUACAACCAAAGGACCCCCACUCUCUGAGGGACGAAUCGGUCCAGAGAUUCCUGGAAAUGUAUGAAAACAGCCGGUAAGAUUGGCACUGUGAUUGUUACUUUAACAGCUGUGGACAUAGACUUCCCCUUGGAACUUUUGGUAGGUGAAACGAUUGAUCCAUAUGACUAUUUGGAAAAUGUAACUUAGCAUUCCCAGGAAAGAAAGAAGAACUAGGGAUCUUUCUAAGAAUUUCUGGUACAACUCCAGAUAUAUCAUUUCCAGAAGCAUUGAAGUCUUUGAGUCCCUUUGGCAUGUUAUUUGGAAGUGGACUGGUAAAACGAUUAUUUGAUAUAUCAAGGGAUUCUAAAGAGCUCAUUUCAGCAAUAGUAGUUGGAAGAGAACCAACAAAGUUAUUUCCAGCAAUGUUGAGCACUCUCAGGCUAGUUAAUGAUCCAAACUCAUCAGGAAAAAAGCUACUAAGUUGGUUGUAAGAAAGAUCAAGAACUUGAAGAUGAGAUUGGUCAAGAGAGACGAUAAAUCGAUGCCACCAUUAAUCAAAUUAUUUUUAAGAUGGUGCUCUUGUAAUGUUGGCACUGUGAAAAAUUUGGUUAGAAGAAUGCCUUUUAAUUGGUUGUAACUGAUAUUAAGCACUCUAUUUUUGGAAGGUCGUUCCUGAAAUGAUGAAUCACAAAAACUGAGGUGUUGCCUCAGGGAUGUUCCCUGCCAAACGAUUACCAACGGGAUUGAGAUAUUCUAUGUUCCUCCAUUUCAGCACCCUGGUUAAAUUUCCUUCAAAUUUUGUAAUUCGACGGAUCAAGGACGGCGCAACUUCCAGUCAGCAGUGGCAGCCCACCGUGAAGCCAUUCGACGAGAAAUUCAGAAAGAGAAGUGUUGUCAAUGUAAUCAUACACGAUGGCCCUGAAAGAAAAUUUUCAUCAUUAGAUUAAUAGAAAUUGAAUCUGAGCACUCGUAUAAGUUGGAUUAUUUAUUUCGAGGAAAAGAAAAAUUGGAUUUAAUGAAUCUCCUUGAGAGAUUUUUGGCACUCGAAUCAAGUUCAGUUAAAACCAAAGAAUCUCCAUUAAGUAAGCCAUCAGGAAUAAAUCCUAAAAUAUGUUGUUGUUAAGCUUAAGGAUUUGGAUAUCAUUAACAAAAUCAAAUCCAGGUAAUUCUCCAUUCAAAUGGUUAUAGCUGAGAUCCAACACCUUCAAUUACAAAAUAAAUGAAAUUAUAAAAAAUAAAUACUGAUACUGGUACAAUACAUGUAAUUGUUAUAAUCUAUGUAGUCACAAAAAGUAGCUUUCGCGCCAUGGCAUUGACAUUUAUGCUUUUGUUUAAUAACAAAAUGAACUACCAGCAAUUUACGAUUAGAAUAAUUCCUAUACUGAAAUUUUGUAUCACCACCAAACAAUCGUUAUAUUUGUUAGCUCAGGUGAUUCAAUAGACCAAAACGUAGAAGAAUAAUUCAAAAAUCAUCUUUAUACACGAGGAUGUAAUAAACUCUGCAUGUGUAAUACGUGCAAUAUGAUCAUAAGGUUAAUACAAACGGUUUUCUAAUUCUAACUUGAUGAUAAUUUCAAAAUCAACAAGUAGAGAGUGAGAUCUUUGAAUUUAAUUGCAGAAAGUAGCAAGUAGAGUUUCAAUGCAGAAGUAGCAAGUAGAGAGUUUCAAUUACAAAUAUCAUAAAGGCAAAUAUGGACUAUUCCAUAUUUUUCUCAACAGUACUAGAAGUAAAAGAUAAAAGCAGAUCUUUUUAGAAAGGCCAAAGGGGGAUGAUUCAUCAUCAAAUUCUUCACACCCCAAACAUGAGGGGUAAGUGUGAUCUCAGACAUAAUUCAAAAUGAGAUAAAAAUGAGUGCAGCUCCAUUCAUUAUCCAUUCAACCUAUCGCACAAACCAAGCAGACUAAUUCCAUCACAAGAAACAACUUGAGUAUCCUGUAUCAGCUGCUGCACAUCACAGGUCCUUCCUUCUAUCCCUUACAACCUCAAUUUAAAUCCUCGGGACAAGAAGUCGUCCCUGUGGAAAGAAAAACUGAAUCUCAUCGAAGUAAGUUCAACAAUAUCACAAAAGAAUAGUUGAUAAAAACCAUGCUUUUGAAACUUAAGAGUAAUUUCAUAGUAGGCCAAUUUCUCAACAACUUUCUUCUCUUUACAUACCACGGCAGUGUGGAAUAGUCUCAACAUUCAGAAAUAAGUUGGUAAAAAAAAUUAUUUAGGAGUGAAAAUCUCAAACAAUGAAUAAAAAGGAAAAAAACCAAAUAAUACCAAAAUUCUUUUUUUCAGCAAAUUCUUUAGCCAAGUGUGUUUAGAGAUUCAUAACAAAAUAUAGACCAAAUUCUUCUUAGGUACAUACUCAAUAUUCGCAAGCACCCUUGCACUCUAGUACAACUAGUUUAGCCUCAAUUUACUAUUUACUUCUAAAUAGUAUCUACAACACUUUGGUACAUAUUCAGUCACUGAAGCCCUCAUUCCUUGGUUUCAAAUCACUUAACAUUCAUUUACAUAAUAAGAUUACAAACAGAAUUGCAAUGGAAUAUCAUAAAAAUUUCAAGAAAACAUUACUCAUUUCAAGCUUCGGGUGCAACCACUUAGUGCACCAAACGAUAAUUAAAUCCUCCAAACAUAAGUAUUUUAACAAGCAUUUAGAGUAAACUUCCUAACCAAAGCCAACAGCAAUUCAGAAUGCAGCAGCAAACACCAUUACAUGAAUUUGUGUAAAAUAUAGUAGAUUAGUUUAUUUGCUUCGUGCUCCUAAGUUGUGACGAAUGUAGGUUAGCUUUUAUAAAUCAUUCUUAGACUUUUAUUACCUCUCUUCUACCUUCCCUUAGAGGCAAGCUUCAAAAAAGUAUACAAAAUAAGUAUAUUUUUUUAUUUCGCUUCAUUUUUGUGUGUUGUCAUUUACCAAAAUUGGGUUCGACUUUCAUAACUCAAUUCACUCCAUUUGAACAAGCAUGCGAACAUAUUUUCUGAAGAAUCCAACAGCAAGAAUGUAGACUAGUAGCCAAACACAAAGAAACAAGGUUCAAUUUCACAUGACUGGACAUAAACAAACUGCCAUUUGCUGGCUACUAAAUCAUUUGUUAAGGCAACUUCUCCAUGGAAAUUAGUAUAUAGAACAGUUAGGUGUGUUUAAAGUCUC
rnacentral:lncRNA from 1 species